rnacentral:rRNA from 1 species
UACGUAGGGUGCAAACGUUGUUCGGAAUCACUGGGCAUAAAGAGCGCGCAGGCGGUCGUCCAAGUCGCGUGUGAAAGCCCCCGGCUCAACUGGGGAGGGUCACGCGAUACUGGUCGACUCGAAGGCAGGAGAGGGUAGUGGAAUUCCCGGUGUAGUGGUGAAAUGCGUAGAUAUCGGGAGGAACACCAGUGGCGAAGGCGACUACCUGGCCUGUUCUUGACGCUGAGGCGCGAAAGCUAGGGGAGCAAACGGG